UGAAACCUGAUAAUGAGUUGAGAAUUUUAAUUGAUGGAGAGGAGAAGCAGAAGGCAAAUUUCCUCGCUGCUGAUGAUUUUCAGCCACCGCUCAUUCCUGAGAAGACAAUUCCUGAUCCAGAUGACAAGAAGCCUGAGGAUUGGGAUGAGAGGGCAAAGAUUCCUGACCCUGAUGCAGUAAAACCUGAAGACUGGGAUGAGCAUGCUCCCAUGGAAAUUGAAGAUGAGGAUGCUGUGAAACCUGAAGGAUGGCUGGAUGAUGAGCCUGAGGAGAUAGAUGACCCUGAGGCCACAAAACCUGAGGAUUGGGAUGAUGAGGAGGAUGGUGAAUGGGAGGCCCCAAAGAUUGAUAACCCAAAGUGUGAAGCAGCCCCUGGAUGCGGCGAGUGGAAGAGGCCAAUGAAGAGGAAUCCUGCCUACAAGGGCAAAUGGCAUGCUCCACAUAUUGACAACCCUAAUUACAAGGGUAUUUGGAAGCCUCAGCAGAUUCCAAACCCCAACUAUUUUGAGCUUGACAAACCUGACUUUGAGCCUAUUGCUGCUGUUGGCAUUGAGAUCUGGACAAUGCAGGAUGGUAUUUUGUUUGACAACAUUU
rnacentral:lncRNA from 1 species